rnacentral:rRNA from 1 species
ACGAACGCUGGCGGCAUGCCUAACACAUGCAAGUCGAACGAGACCUUCGGGUCUAGUGGCGCACGGGUGCGUAACGCGUGGGAACCUGCCCUUAGGUUCGGAAUAACUCCCCGAAAGGGGUGCUAAUACCGGAUAAUGUCUUCGGACCAAAGAUUUAUCGCCUUUGGAUGGGCCCGCGUUGGAUUAGCUAGUUGGUAGGGUAAAAGCCUACCAAGGCGACGAUCCAUAGCUGGUCUGAGAGGAUGAUCAGCCACACUGGGACUGAGACACGGCCCAGACUCCUACGGGAGGCAGCAGUGGGGAAUAUUGGACAAUGGGCGAAAGCCUGAUCCAGCAAUGCCACGUGAGUGAUGAAGGCCUUAGGGUUGUAAAGCUCUUUUACCCGGGAUGAUAAUGACAGUACCGGGAGAAUAAGCUCCGGCUAACUCCGUG